rnacentral:tRNA from 1 species
AGGGGUGUGGUGAAAUGGUAUCACAAAGGUCUCCAAAACCUUUUUUCACGGUUCGAGUCCGUGCACCCCUG